GACGGAAGGUGCAAGCGUUGCUCGGAAUCACUGGGCGUAAAGGGUGCGUAGGCGGCUUGGUAAGUUGGGUGUGAAAGCCCCGGGCUCAGCCCGGGAAGGGCACUCGAAACUGCCGAGCUGGAGUGCCGGAGGGGAGAGUGGAAUUCCUGGUGUAGCGGUGAAAUGCGUAGAUAUCGUAAGGAAGACCAGUGGCGAAGGCGGGUCUCUGGACAGUUCCUGACGCUGAGGCACGAAGGCCAGGGGGAGCAAACGGG
rnacentral:rRNA from 1 species